ACCUUAAUUCUCAGCGUCUGCUGAGUGUUCACACAGUUUGCUUGAUAGAUAGCAGAGCGCUUUUGAUAGAGGCGUGGUGGUUGGUUUGCCUAUAGCCAGCCACACACCGAGUUCAACGACAUCAAGCCCAGUUCAACAUCCGUUGUGCUUGCCGCUCGGGUUCGCAGAGCUCACCACUCGCCUUUACCAAAAAAUCGUUGAAGCUUGCUUCAACAACAGAUUUUUUGGUCCCCUUCGUCUAGAGGCCUAGGACACCGCCCUUUCACGGCGGUAACAGGGGUUCGAAUCCCCUAGGGGACGCCAUUCCUUGAGAAUGCAAAGCUAAAAAGCGUUUAGCUUUGAUUUCUUGAUGAAAUCUGCUCUUUAACAAUUCGGAAAAAGCUGAUGAAUAAAAAGUAGUUCUUGAUACUGCAAGUGUCUUGGAACUUCUUGGCGAAAUUUGUUGUAAGCAUCAGUCACAUGAUGCGUACCGCCAUCAUUAAGUGUACCGGUCUUCGGACUGACACACUUCUUGGGGUCGUAUGG
rnacentral:tRNA from 1 species